ensembl:lncRNA
UAGAUUUAAUCAGGGAUUUUUGCCAAUGGUAAACAAAAACAAGCCAAUAUGUCAGAGUGAAAAACAGAAUCUAUAAACUGCUCAUUAAGUUGUUAGCUUGCUGCAGGAGAGUUGCUUUUUCCCAUGAGAAGUCUUUCCCAGGCCCUCGCCCCAUGUCCCAGAACCCCCUGGGGCUAAUGUCCACCCUCUGCCAACUACAGCUGUGUGCCCGAUGAAUCGGAGUGCCAGCGCAACCGGAGUGUCCACCGUUCCAGUGCCAUUAAAGACUCCCAUUCAAACUCCUCUUCCCUCUGUUGCCACUGGGUCUCGUAUAACACGCUAGCAGUUUAUUACCGCUAUUUACAGGGUCACAGUCGGGAGGCCAAUAGGAAUGGGCUUACCACUCUCACUAUGUCGGCCUAUCCCCAGCGUCCAGCGCCCACCCAGGUGCCCAGUCUGUGCCUGCCAAACCAGAGCUCGGUGAGGUGCCGGAUUAGACUGCUGCCAGGCUUUGCUAUCCUGUGGAGGGGGGAAGAAAGUCUUGCCAGUUGGAUGUUGUUGGGUGAAUUGUGUGGCUAAUUCAGGCUAAGGAUUUAGAGCACUAAGACAUAGCAACCAGAAGAGGAUCUAUAAGAGGGAUCUUCUAGCAUCGACAGGUACCCUGCAAUUCCAUGAACAAACUUUCAUUACUGUAUUUUGUGAUUUAUAUAAUUAAUAAAAUUCAAAUGGUUGUAGAAUGUCAACUGAACUGUGUCCUUGCCGCAGAAAUCACAAAUGUUCUAUCACCUUCCGUCACUGACAGUGACUUGACACGUUUUGAGUACCCACGCACUCUUUUAGAUUAAUAUAAACUGUAUUGUCACUGCAUUGUCACUGUAUUGUCAUUGCAUUGUUAUUUGACUUUUAGAGACAUGGGAUUGUAUUAUGAUACCAUGACUUACAAUGAACAGGAAGCUCCACUGAAAUGUUUCCCCUCCAAAGCAAUUUUAUAUUUGCUUCUUAUAUAAUCCCUAUUGGUAAUUCUUUCAAUCAUUUCUCUUGUUUACAAAUGGUUUUGGUCUUACUUUAGAAAAGCAAUGAAACAGAAAUUAAAUGUAAUCUGUGAGACGUGUCUGGCAUCGCUGUAUUAAAAUUACAUUAGUAAACUGUGUCAAUUCACAUUAAAAACGUUGUUCUUCCUUUGUUGCCAGAAAUCCCAGCGGAGUAUUUUGACCCAGCCUCCAUAGAUCUCACUCCAUUGGUCAACAAAUUAAUUAAUUCAACACAAUUGGGUAAGCCAACCAAUGGAGAGGUGGAGUCGACUCAUCAUAAUCCCCACAGAAAGCGGGCCUAAUGUUCUCUCAGUAAAACCCUGGCGACAUGUUUUCUUACGGAAACCAGUCUGAC